CAAAUCAUUGUUUCUCUACUAUCUACAAUUUGAAAAUACUGAUUUUGGAACCAGAUUCUCCUAUUGUGAUGAUCUAAUUCUUGCGAAUAAGCUUAUGGUUACUGGCCCCCGAAAUUGCAUAUUUAAUAUCAGUUUUUUCUUAUGUAAAUGGAGAUCAACAGAGGUGAUGAAAAUGAGAUGCAUGAUAUAUAUCUUUUCGGGAUCACUUAUUCUCAGAAAGCAGAUCGGCGCCUCCAUCAGGGUACAUGUAGCAUGCUUCAGACAUGUGGUAACGUUUGAGAGAAGCAUGUCACAGAUCUUCAGUUGGUAGAUUUUCUCCAGUAUGGCCCACAAAAUAGCAAGGGGCAG